UUGAACGCUGGCGGCAUGCUUUACACAUGCAAGUCGAACGGCAGCGGGGGCUUCGGCCUGCCGGCGAGUGGCGAACGGGUGAGUAAUGCAUCGGAACGUACCCAGUCGUGGGGGAUAACUACGCGAAAGCGUAGCUAAUACCGCAUGAGUCCUGAGGGAGAAAGCGGGGGAUCGCAAGACCUCGCGCGAUUGGAGUGGCCGAUGUCAGAUUAGCUAGUUGGUGGGGUAAAGGCCUACCAAGGCGACGAUCUGUAGCGGGUCUGAGAGGAUGAUCCGCCACACUGGGACUGAGACACGGCCCAGACUCCUACGGGAGGCAGCAGUGGGGAAUUUUGGACAAUGGGCGAAAGCCUGAUCCAGCCAUGCCGCGUGCGGGAAGAAGGCCUUCGGGUUGUAAACCGCUUUCAGCCGGAAAGAAAUCGCCACUUCUAAUACGAGUGGUGGAUGACGGUACCGGAAGAAGAAGCACCGGCUAACUACGU
rnacentral:rRNA from 1 species